rnacentral:precursor_RNA from 1 species
CUCUCCACAAAGUUCUCUAUGAAAAUGAGAAUCUUGAUGAUGCUGCAUCGGCAAUCAACGACUAUUCUUUCCCUCUCUCUCUCUCUCCCUCUGUAUAGAUUAUUUGGAUUCCAUCCAGAUCUUCUUCAGGUAGGUUUGUUUCUACUUGAAGUUUUUUUUUUUCACCUUUAUGUUAACAUAUCCUCCCGUUUAUUUUUAUUUGUUAUACAUAAAGAUCUGACAAAGAACUUUUGUGGGUAUCUUGUUUCAUGUGAUAACAUUGAGCAUUUGAUCUCAGGUUUUUGGCAGUCUUUAUCAAGACAUUAAUAGAUCCACAAGCUUCUAUUUCAAUAAGUGAGCAAGAGUCACAACAUCAAGAUCAGUAAGGUAAGAGAGAUCUACUUAAGGUAACUAAUAUAUAUGCCUUAUUUCUUAUGUUGCCAAUCCCACCUUGCAUUUCCAAAACAACACAAUAUAGUUUUGUUUUGUUAGAAACAAAAAAGGAUAUUAUAUAUGGAAGUUGAGAUAAUAUAUAUAACAGGUCUAUAUGGAACUAUUGUUGUCUAGCAAAGAAAAGGUUUUCAAGACACACUGUCAGUUCUUUGUUUUGUUGGUUCAUGUUGGCUAUUACAUUCAAAUUGAGAAUCAAUCAAGAACUUGUUGGGUGGACCUUACACACAUUGUAGGCUAGGCAUAUUCAGUCCAACCUAUUUGUGUCCCCUCUAUUUACAUAUUUGGAUUUCGUCCUUAUAACUGAUAUUGAAACAAUGAAGAAUAUAUACUCUCUUUUUCUCUUUAUUCUGUUAUAAGGGAACAAUAAAUCUAUAGCAUCAUAUAUACUCAGACUGUGAACAAAACCUAUUCACAGUUAUGAGUUUCAUGUUUUGUUUAUGAGCACAACCUCCCAAACUUGUUUCCAAAACAAAUUCUAUAAAUAUUAGUAUUAUUUUUGGUUA